rnacentral:rRNA from 1 species
AUGGGGGAAACCCCGACGAGGGAAAGCCAAGUGCCAGCACAAUGUGCUGGCUGUUUUCUUGUCUAAAAAACAAGGAGAGUAAGGGCUGGGUAAGACGGGUGCCAGCCGCCGCGGUAAUACCUGCAGCCCGAGUGGUACUCGUUAUUAUUGGGUCUAAAUCGUCCGUAGUCGGUUGCGUAGAUGCCUGGGUAAAUCGAAGCGCUUAACGUUUCGAAUUCCAGGUAGACCGCGCGACUAGGGAUCGGGAGAGGUGCAAAGUACUCCGGGGGUAGGGGUAAAAUCCUGUAAUCCUCGGGGGACUACCAGUGGCGAAGGCGUUGCACUAGAACGAGUCCGACGAUCAGGGACGAAGCCCUGGGGCGCAAACGGGAUUAGAUACCCCCGUAGUCC